rnacentral:rRNA from 1 species
CCUACGGGGGGCUGCAGUGGGGAAUUUUGGACAAUGGGGGCAACCCUGAUCCAGCCAUGCCGCGUGCGGGAAGAAGGCCUUCGGGUUGUAAACCGCUUUUAGCCGGGAAGAAAAGGCGAUCUCUAAUACGGGUCGUUCUUGACGGUACCGGCGGAAUAAGCACCGGCUAACUACGUGCCAGCAGCCGCGGUAAUACGUAGGGUGCGAACGUUAAUCGGAAUUUGUGCACGUGGAGCGUGCGCAGGGGGUUGAAAGCCCCGGGAUCAACCUGGGAAAGGCAUUGGAAACUGGCGGGCUGGAGUGUGGCAGAGGGGGGUGGAAUUCCGCGUGUAGCAGUGAAAUGCGUAGAGAUGCGGAGGAACACCGAUGGCGAAGGCAGCCCCCUGGGCUGACACUGACGCUCAGGCACGAAAGCGUGGGGAGCAAACAGGAUUAGAUACCCCUGUAGUC